rnacentral:rRNA from 1 species
AUGUUCAAGUUCUUGGUUGAUAAAGCAUGGCAGAAUAUUUUUGGUUGGGCAGACCGGCCUUUGUCCAGAGCAGGGACUGAGACAUUGCUGAAAUCUAAAACUCAAGCAAUCCCCACCUUUAUUUCGAGCUGUUUCCGCCUACCGGUAGCAAUUUGUGAAAAAUUCAGGCAAAUUGUGGCUGAUCAAUGGUGGGGUCGCGAGGAUGGCAAGAAGAAGAUGCACUGGCGCUCGUGGGACUGGCUUUCCACUCCAAAAGCUCUCGGUGGCAUGGGUUUCAGGGAUUUGGCGCUCUUUAACCAGGCAAUGCUUGGUAAGCAGGGCUGGCGCCUCCUGACUGAGCCCGGAUCACUCUAUGCACAGGUCCUAAAGGGAAGGUAUUUUCCUUUCACUGACUCUUGGAAUGCUUCGGCUCCCCGCGCGGCAUCGGCCACUUGGCGGGCCAUUCUUCAUGGCCGAGAUCUUCUGAAGCAGGGGGUGCAAUGGGGCCUUGGUGAUGGCCGGAGCACACAUAUUCUGUCUGAUCAUUGGAUUCCUUCCACCCCUCCGGCCUUGCUGCAGCCUUUGACCCCAAUCCCAGCUUCAGCUACGGUUCAUUGCUUGUUUGAUGAGGAAAACGAAUGCUGGAAUGAGGAUACGGUGAGAGCUUUCUUCCCUCAUGAGGUUGCUAAUGAUAUUCUCAAAGUUCACAUCAACUGGGAGGGUGGUCCGGACUUUGCUAGGUGGCCUUUCACCAAGUUUGGAGAGUAUACUGUCUGGUCGGCCUAUAACAUGGCCAGGACUUGCCGUUUCCUGUCUGAUCGCAAUGCUAAUGGCGGGGGUCAGCCCUCGAACUGGGCACUUGAGGACAGAUUGUGGAAGAAGUUAUGGAAGGUGCAAGCUCCAAAUAAAAUGAAGAUUGUGCUGUGGAAGUUAGCUCAUGACUGUUUACCUUCGGGUGCUCAAAUGCUGCGUCGUCAGAUACCGACGAGGACGGACUGUUUUUUCUGUGGGCGUCCGGAGAGCAUUGAGCAUGCUCUUCUCUUCUGUGUCCACGCUUAG